UACGGAGGAUCCAAGCGUUGUCCGGAUUUAUUGGGUUUAAAGGGUGCGUAGGCGGAUGAUUAAGUCAGUGGUGAAAGCCGGCAACUCAACUGUCGAACUGCCAUUGAAACUGAUCGUCUUGAAUGUAGUAGAGGUAGGCGGAAUGUAUCAUGUAGCAGUGAAAUGCUUAGAUAUGAUACAGAACACCAAUUGCGAAAGCAGCUUACUAUAACUAUUAUUGACGCUGAGGCACGAAAGCGUGG
rnacentral:rRNA from 1 species